CACAGCUUCACACCGGUUAAAGAAGCUGUCGAAACCUACAAGGAUCAGGUUAAAGAUUCCAUCGAAUUUCUAACAAAAAAUAAAUCAGAGAUCCAGCGAAUGGAGCAGCAACAGGAACAGAAGAUUUCUCAAGUUCUGGAACAGUCACUCAACCUUCAGUCCAAGAUCUCAUCCCAAUUUGCUGAACAGCACAAGAUUCUCACUGAGAAAGAGCAGCGCGCACUGGCAGAUAUCGGAGAGGAAGAGAAGAAGAUUCUAAAUACAAUGGAGAGAAAUCUUGGAGGGAUUCAAGAGAAUUUAAAAUCUAUU